rnacentral:tRNA from 1 species
GGCUGGUUAGCUCAGUCAGUUGAGCGUGGUGCUGGUAACACCAAGGUCAUGGGGUUCAAUUCCCGUUUGGUCCC